rnacentral:rRNA from 1 species
CCUACGGGCGGCAGCAGUAGGGAAUCUUCCACAAUGGACGAAAGUCUGAUGGAGCAACGCCGCGUGAGUGAAGAAGGGUUUCGGCUCGUAAAGCUCUGUUGGUAGUGAAGAAAGAUAGAGGUAGUAACUGGCCUUUAUUUGACGGUAAUUACUUAGAAAGUCACGGCUAACUACGUGCCAGCAGCCGCGGUAAUACGUAGGUGGCAAGCGUUGUCCGGAUUUAUUGGGCGUAAAGCGAGUGCAGGCGGUUCAAUAAGUCUGAUGUGAACGCCUUCGGCUCAACCGGAGAAUUGCAUCUGAAACUGUUGGACUUGAGUGCAGAAGAGGAGAGUGGAACUCCAUGUGUAGCGGUGGAAUGCGUAGAUAUAUGGAAGAACACCAGUCGCGAAGGCGGCUCUCUGGUCUGCAACUGACGCUGAGGCUCGAAAGCAUGGGUAGCGAACAGGAUUAGAUACCCUUGUAGUC